UACGAAGGGUGCAAGCGUUGUUCGGAUUUAUUGGGCGUAAAGCGCGCGCAGGCGGAUUAGCAAGUCAGAUGUGAAAUCUCAGGGCUCAACCCUGAAACUGCGUCUGAAACUGCUAGUCUAGAGUGUUGGAGGGGGCAGGGGAAUUUCACGUGUAGGGGGUAAAAUCCGUAGAGAUGUGAAGGAACACCGGAGGCGAAGGCGCCUGCCUAGACAACUACUGACGCUGAGGCGCGAAAGCGUGGGGAGCAAACAGG
rnacentral:rRNA from 1 species